CAAAAGAUAGUUUAAUUAAAAUAUUAGUUUUGGAGACUAAUGAUGGAAAUAGUAUUUUCUCUUUUGA
rnacentral:tRNA from 1 species